rnacentral:rRNA from 1 species
UACGUAGGGUGCGAGCGUUGUCCGGAAUUACUGGGCGUAAAGAGCUCGUAGGUGGUUUGUCGCGUUGUCCGUGAAAACUCACAACUCAAUUGUGGGCGUGCGGGCGAUACGGGCAGACUGGAGUACUGCAGGGGAGACUGGAAUUCCUGGUGUAGCGGUGGAAUGCGUAGAUAUCGGGAGGAACACCAGUGGCGAAGGCGGUUGCCUGGAGCUUUGCUGACGCUGAGGCGCGAAAGCGUGGGGAGCGAUCCGG